AGCUUUCAAGACGCUGGCAAGGCCACAAUGCACAAUGCCAGCAAAAGAUUCAAGAAAGCACAGCAGCCGCUCUGUCCUUGGAUGCACAAUACUGGGAGUGACAAUGAUGUGUCCUGAAGGUUCAGGUUCUGUUGCAUCUCAGUCCAGCCUGGAGGAAGGAUGCUUUAACCUGAGCAGAGGAACAGCAGCUAACGUGGAGGUUUGUUUGAUAUGUUCUGUUUGAUCCUAAAGGUUUAAAAGGACCAAUGACAUCCAGGAGGAAUCUUUGAUAAGUGAUUGACUGGUGGUGAGAGAUGUGUCCUGAUUCCUGUACACCAACAGCUGGACCUGCAGCCACCAGUCCGUCAAGCUUUGCGGAUGACACCACCCUCAUUGGACUGAUCUCUGGUGGGGAUGAGUCCGCCUACAGGUGGAAGUCUGACCAUCUGGUUUGACUUGAGCCAAAAAGAUCGUGGCCGACCCCUCUCACCCCGGACAAAAACUGUCUGUGCCCCUUCCAUCUGACAGGAGGCUGAGGUCCAUCAGGACUAAGACCUCCCGCCACACCAACAGUUUCUUCCCGUUGGCAGUCGG
ensembl:lncRNA